UAUCAGAAGUGAUGUUUUCGA
rnacentral:piRNA from 1 species